AUUUAAGAUGCAACAUGUUAAAUUCCAUAAUGGUGAUGACUGAAAGAUAAAAAGUACCAUAGAUGAGGCCAUGACUGAAUCGGAAUGGGAGAAUCAGCCAAACGAAAUUAUUACUUCAAUUGAAUGCUGAAAGCUGCGCAUUGAUUAUUUUAUUCAGAAGGUCCUUUGCGAGAGGUCAGCGGUGGGACUUUGCGAGUACCGCCUCUUCAGACGGCUGCAUCAGCCAGCAGGCGGCGCGUUUCCCCGCCCGGAAAUCCGUCUGCUCCGGCGGAGGCCCAGCUGCUGCAGGCUGCGACUCCUCUCCCGAUUAAAUGAAUUGGUGAAAUGGUGGAGCACAGGAUGGAAAAAGCCUAGUCUCUUAACCACUGUGGAAGCUCAUCUACUGACACGGUAAAAUGGAAGUCCAGUUUAUUUCAGAGGCUGCUUCAGUGAAUGAAAGAGAAUAAAGGAGAGAGGGAAACAGUGAGUUUUAUGUUUAAUCUUAUAAUAACUUGUACCUAGGAAGUACAAUUAUU